CCUACGGGUGGCAGCAGUCGAGAAUCAUUCACAAUGGGGGAAACCCUGAUGGUGCGACGCCGCGUGGGGGAAUGAAGGUCUUCGGAUUGUAAACCCCUGUCAUGUGGGAGCAAAUUAAAAAGAUAGUACCACAAGAGGAAGAGACGGCUAACUCUGUGCCAGCAGCCGCGGUAAUACAGAGGUCUCAAGCGUGGUUCGGAAUCACUGGGCGUAAAGCGUGCGUAGGCUGUUUCGUAAGUCGUGUGUGAAAGGCGCGGGCUCAACCCGCGGACGGCACAUGAUACUGCGAGACUAGAGUAAUGGAGGGGGAACCGGAAUUCUCGGUGUAGCAGUGAAAUGCGUAGAUAUCGAGAGGAACACUCGUGGCGAAGGCGGGUUACUGGACAGUAACUGACGCUGAGGCACGAAGGCCAGGGGAGCGAAAGGGAUUAGAUACCCUAGUAGUC
rnacentral:rRNA from 1 species